CCGGCGAGCUCGGGCGAGCUCCGACGCGGGAUAGGUUGGUCCUCUCUCUCUCUCUCAAAAAGUGCUGAACUAAACGUGGAAGCAAACUUCUCUUGUGGAGGAUGAAAGUGGAAAGCUGCAUACGAGGAUCUGCUCCCAUCCCCGUCGUCUCCGCCGGCAGCCCAUGGCCAACGGCCGGCCUGGCUCUGCCCCACCACGACGCCUCGCCGGCAUGUGUGGAGCCAUUCACGUGGUGUUGAUUCAGCACAGCUCUUUAUAAUUUGUGCCUACAAGGUGUUUGGUGAAAAGGCAAUAUGGUUGUACAGAAGGAUUAAUCCAUGUUGAUAGGUUAUGUGGCCAGCCUCAGAUCGGCUAGAUUGUGCCAAUGGAUAGGUGCCACUACACUGCUGCUGCUGAUGGAUUAGUGCAACAUAUACUUCCAAGUUUCAGUUUCCUCCUCAAAUAUUUUAACUUUAGCAAUGGAUGCUUCCAUUGGUUUGGCUUCUAAGUACGCAUUAUCUGAUUACUUCACAAGGCAUGCCUCGGGGUCAACAAGACAUCACCCUCAUGCCAUGUCUGUACUGCCCACAGGGCACAAAGGUGGUGCACCACUGUACACCGUUACGGAAUGAGACGGGAUAACCAAAUCACCAACGUCAUUCUCAAAUACCGCUGCUAGCUACUGCUUCCCUGGGCAGCCAGGUGAGAGCCUCUCCUCCCCCUCAGUUCACACUCUAAGUUUCUACUUCACAUUAAGGUGGCUGUCCAAGCCUCUAUCUUUUAUUUCCACAUAUUGUAGGUCAUCGUAUACCAUCCAUUUGCACAUCCUAAUAUCAUUUUUAGUGUAUAUUCACUUUCUUUAGAUUUCUAAAGGCACUUUUGCCCAACUAUUUUGUCGAUAAGAUCUUGGUGUUUAACAAAGGGUCUUCGAAACUAAUGCAGACCAAGAAACUAAAAUUAUGUAAUGGAAAAUUAUAAAGUUUAUACUUCAAGCUGGUUUUUUAGAAGUUUUUAGAGCACACCAUGGUGGAAACUAAGAUAUGGAGAACUUUAUCUUUAUCCAAUAUAGGAGAUACCUUCCACAUGCAUUUUUGCCUGAGUAAAUAACGUGAGAUUUAAAAUGUGUGCUGCCUGAUGUUUACACAUGAGAAGCGUAAUUAAUUUUUGUUAGUUACACUAACAAUAUUUCUUGAAACCUUGAUGGUUCAUUUUGCUUCAUGUAUUCUAGAUCACUGUCCUGUGUGGAUAGAGAACUUAUCAACAGUUGACGCCUGACUCGGAGGAUUCGUUUGCCUUGUCCUAUUGAGAAACUUGCUUCCCCUGCUUUUUCGCUUCUUCUGUUUUGUAUCUCAAUAACAGCCGCCACCCUUUAAAAGUAUGCUGCUUGAUCAUGUAUACAGAUAUCAAACUCACUUGCAUUUAUUAAUAGAUGAUAGAUAGUUGCUUUUUUGUGAGAAAUUGAUUAGAUGGUAGCUAGGACAUGUAAAUACGCUGCUUAUUCUUGCUUGUUGCUGCUGUCGAACUCAAUUACAUUCAUUCAGUUACUUAAUCAUGCAUGUUGCUGGAGCUCUCAAACUAUAGAUUAAAUUUUAGCUUUCGUAGUAAACUACCAUGUCAUUAGUUAUUGUUUAGUUUUGCAUUAUCACCUCUGUUAUGUUUUUAUUGUAGAAGCUUAUAUGGUAUCUCUGACAUUCAGUGAAAAUUGUCAUGGUGCAAGGACAUGGGUUGCACGGGAUGUCAAGAGUGGGUAACUUGGCGGCUUUUUAUACAAGCUGAGUGACAUCAACGAGGAAGGGAGGUGUGGAGUUAGCGACCAAGCCAAAUAAUGCUGAGGUGGAUCAAGAAGCAGUCUACAACAAAUCCAUGUUAGGUGCUCCUCUCUCUUUACCCUAUUUGUGGCUCUGGUUUCAAUUUUCUAAUAUUAUUUAUCAGAACAUGAUGUUUCAGAUUCGCGAAAAUGAUAAGAGGACGAAUUGAAUGGAAGAGUUUGUGUGAUUGCCUCCCUCUCCCUCUCUCCAUUGCUUGAAUCGUCAAAAUUGAUCCUAAUUUUUCAUGUUAUGGUCUGUGCUAAACCUAAAAAUGAGUUUGUUUCUUUUGUCUAUGUAACCUGCUUUAUUUUCUUUUGACCAGUGCUCAUCUAGGUUGAAUGUUGUCUCCUUUCUACUCUUGUCAUCUCCUCGACGGCCACUCACCUUCUGGUGCAAGUGGAGACGUGGCCAGAUGGUUUAUCCAACAAUGGAGGGAUUGCAACCUGCAAAAUUUGUCUCUUGGUUCACCAACAUGAUCACCCUGUAUCCUGAUGCAAAAACAGCCUGAGCCAGAGUUCAGCCACCGAUGUCGGAGAUUGUGCAGUAGCUGCCCUAUCGUGUAGAGAUCAGACAUGGGGCUGAUGCUUUGUGGUGGCAACUAUUAUCUGCGUAGCUAUUUGUUCUAGGGGAAGAUGUACGUUUCCCACAAACAUUUUCAGUCUAAGUAGAGGAAUAUAUUACCAAAUACUCUUUAGUUUCUCAUAAUGGAGACUGGGGAGCUGCCCCUUUUUUCACAAAGCGGCUAGGAAAGGUAAUAGAUAGCUGGGUUUCAGUACUCGGUGAAGCAUGGCGGCUGACUUUCGUAAUUUUAACAGUAGCUAAUUAUACUAAAUAUUCAGUAUUUUAGUUUCUUUGUGGAAUAGAAUUAGCAUUAUUAGUGGAAGGUCUAGCCAGAAUCUUGCUCUUCACUUUCUUGAAGGUUGGACCUUUCUGGUUUGAACCAUAGAGAAAUUUGGGAUGUGUCUUUUCCUCUACAAAAGUUUGCUUGCAGCUAUAUGUCGUCAUUUAAUUAUUUUUUAUGUUGCAAAUUCUUCAGGUACUAAAAAAUAAUUAUUUAUGUUGAUGCAAAAAAACAUGAUUUAGUUAUCUUCUAUACUGUAGAUGUUACUGCCUAUUUUUUCGGAUCUUCUUGAGCUGUAAUUUAAGAACUACUCAUUUAACUAAUUAUAAAUCUAUUUGAGGAGGCCAUAGAUUUCACUAACUAGGCAUUAACUAUAUGUUUUUUCCCUUCCAAUGUAAUGGGCCGCAUGACACCGUCAGAUGUACAAAUGAUCUCUGAGGUGAGUUCUGUAUCCAAUUCUAGGUACACUCUGUUUCUCCCUUUGCAAGUACAACACCAUUUUAGUGGGGUCUGAAGAAGUCCAUCGAUGGUUUCAGCUCAAAACUUUGCUCUCUUUGGUUCGUGCAUGUUUCAAUUUUUAGGUGGAUCAGUAUCACACUUAAUGGAGUUCAUAUAAGUAUGGUUAUUAAAGAUGGUUAACAUUUCAUUUGUCUGGUAGCUCGUGUUGAAUAUUUGAUGUUCUUUAUUUUUACCACGAAACAGAAAAAUAUGAAGUAUGUAAUUAUAUGUUUCCUCUUCUCUCUUCCUCUCUUUGCGACGUUAUAUAUCUAGGUAAUAAACAUUUGAAAGCAUGCUAUCUUCCAUUUAAAUUUGUUUGAAAGUGGUGCUUCUGCAAGCAAUACUGCAUGAGUACCUAUACCUAUUAACUUUUAUCCAAAAGUAAAAUACCAUAAGUAGCUAGGUGCUUUAUGUUUAUAUUGUUCCUAAUGUUAAAAGGGUGAACUCUUAUGUUCAAAGACACAUACAUUCUUUGUUAGAAGCUUCAGUGACUUUGAUAUCUCCUCCAGGAUUUCGAAUCCAUGCUUUGUUUUGCAUGUGUGCAUAUCAA